AACCAACGCCACGCGGGCAGUGCCUCCUUCGGACCCUUCGGAGGAGGAGAAUAGGGAAUCGGGUGCAAAUCCCGAGCGGUCCCGCCACUGUAACCGGGGAGCGACCUUCAUCGACCACUCGGCCUCAGGCCGGGGAAGGGAAGGCGACGCGAGGAUCCGGAAGCCAGGAGACCUGCUGCCCGCCGGCUGGUGUU
rnacentral:ncRNA from 1 species